ensembl:lncRNA
UCCACCUGUUAGUGUACUGAUUGAGCUCAAAGCACCGCUGUGGUUUAAAGUUGAACCUAGCUCAACUUUUGCCGCAAUGUGACGUCAUCUGGAAAGGCACUGCGAUGUCCAAUCACAUUCAUGCAACACACAUUUUCAGUUAUUGUAUCACCACCACAGCAACAUUUUUAAACCUCUGUGCAGUAUUUUGCAUCUGAUGAACCUUCAAACUCUUCAAUUUAUUACUCAAACUAAACUUCAUGAUGGUAUUUCAUGUCUCACCCACACAGCCUGUUGUUGCUCAUAAUGAUCCCCCCAUGCUCUUCCCAGCUACCGUGGCUGUAAUCAGGCUAACAGUUUCUUUCUGAUACUCAUCUGUGUGAUAAGCUACAGGCUAAAGUCAUCCCGAGAUUUAAAUGGAUUGUGUGUAUUAAUGUGUUAAUUUGCUGAUGAUGUUUGGUUUCUUUGCACUGAGAAUCAUUGUUCCUCUUUCCUACAGCGGUUGGUCGCUGCCCUGUCAGCACAGCUGCUGUCUCUGCGGACACCGCCCGUGGCCUCAGAGCAGUUGGAUGGAAAACAGGAGGAUGUUUCCCCCGUAUAACCCAAUGACGGCGCUUCUAAGAAGCGCUGGCUUCAGGACCCAGCCGUUACAGUGGCUGGAAAAUGACAGUGAUGACAGUGAUUUUUAGUGGGAGUUCUAUGAAAAGAUCAGCUCUGGUAAAAAGACCACCAAGACCCAGGCCACCACCAGUAAGAAGAAGAAGAAGUAAAAGUUCUGUACUCCCCAACAAGUAAAAGCUUGUCUCGCUGUUAUCCUGUUUGCGCUAAGCUUGCCAAUUAUGUCACAUCAUCUUGAUCAGUAUGUUUAAUUUGGAUGAUAGCGAUCUUGUACCAAGAACCAAAGCAUGCAAAUAAAAUCUUCUGUUCCUUGUCUGUCUCUGCUCAUUCUUCAGCCUCAUCACUAACGGUUCUGACUCAUCACUAACGGUUCCCCACAAGGGGGCUCAGGUACGGUGGCCCAGAGAGGUCACAGCACUGCAACUUAAAAAAACACAUGCAAAAAGACAAAACACAAACAAAUUAAUAAAAAACAACUUCAUCAGUUUGACAACACAUGCACAGCAUUUAGAAAAUGUGCUGCAAAGACCACAACACAUUAGAAAAACUUGCUGCAAAUAGACCGUCACACAACAUAAGUGUUUCCAGAGGACACUUAAAAGUGAUGCACAUUAAGGUUCUCUUUCCGUCAGUGGUUUUGGAAAAUUAGAAAAAAAGUAAGUGUUUUAGAUUUAUUUUAACAUUGUGAUCGCAUGAUUCAGAUAUAAGCCUAUUAGUCCAAGAUUCAUAUACUGCUGAACUUAGUACUUCCUAGACUACUUGCGUGAAUAAUAUGAAGUACUUUUACUGUGUACUUUUCAAGUAAUACUUUGUCAAAAUCCUUAUAUUAUGAUAUUGAAAACUUUGUAAUUUAGUUUAUUUUAGGCUAAUAAAUAAUUUAUUAAUGCCAAUAUUUAUUGUACAGUUAUUGUAGUAGUUGUGGUCUGUCUGUGAGAGAUAGGGGCAAAAUGGCCGACAGCCAUCGACAUCAGACUGACCCUCAGUUGUACUCAUUAACUACAAAAUACUUAUCAAAAACAAAGAUGGGAACAUUAAUAUUUGACAGGAGUUUCUACCUGAUGAAUGAAAGAAUUGCCAAAAUAUCACACUGUGAGCAACAGGAGAUUCUGGAUCGUUGGCGCUCUUGUGUCUGAAGUCGAUACAGCCGAGAGUGUGAGUCUGUCUGCAAGCAGCACAACAUUUCCUACUGAUCUGAUAGAAUGAGCACCAACCAGAAAACAUGUCAGUCCACAGAACUUGAUGACAGGAAAUCAGGAUCCAGAUCAGGAAACACUUUCACACAUCUGUGGAAAUUUUGUGUAUUUGUGGAGGUUUUGUGAGUCAUUGUGGAGGUUUUGUGUGUCAUUGCGGAGGUUUUGUGUAUUUGUGGAGGUUUUGUGUAUUUGUGGAGGUUUUGUGUGUCAUUGCGGAGGUUUUGUGUGUAUUUAUGAACGUUUUUUGUGAAUUUGUUAAGUUUUGUGGAGUUUACGUGUGGAAUUAUGGAGGUUUUGUGUGUCAUUGUGGAGGUUUUUUGUGAAUUUGUGGAGGUUUGUGUAUAUUUGUGGAAGUUUUGUGUAUUUGUGGACGUGUUUAAUGAAUUUGUGGAGGUUUGUAGAGAUUUUGUGUGUCAUUGUGAAGAUGUUGAGUCUCUGUGUGGAGAUUUUGUAGUUUUUGUGUGUAUUUAUGGAAGUUUUUUGUGUCAUUGUGAGGAUUUUUAAUCUUUUUUGGGGAGGUUUUGAGUGUAUCCUUAAAAAACAUUUAACAUGUGUAUACACUGACAGCCACAACAUUAGAACCAGUGACAGGUGAAAUAAUAACAUGGAUCAUUGUGUUCCAAUGUCAUGUUCGGCUGUGAAAC